GUCAAGUACUGUGAGAGGCUUCCUGCUUGUAUCAAUGAUGUCAUUCCAGAGAACAGUGUCCAUGUUGCACAGUUUGGGGUUGUUGCUGAUUUUAACACCUCCAUUGAGAAUUUCUGAUAGCCGUUUCAUUGGCAGCUCUCGAAGUCCCUGGGUUUUAUUCAUGUGGUAAUUGGAUAAAACUGCCAGGGCAAAAGAGUUGUCAUAAAGCACAUUCCCUCGGAUAAUCUGGAGGUUUUCUAAGGGAAUGACGUCCACCAUGUUAAGCGCAAUGAGCACAUAGCCUGCAACCUCCUGUAUGGUCUUAAGGAAGGUGAGAUCGCGAUUAUGCUCCACGUAGGUAAUCUCCAGGUUACUCAGUACCACUUCGCAGUUGUUGUACAUUCUCUGCAGGCUGGUGAAAUGGUCUUCCACGUGCCCCAGCUGGGUCAACUUGUUAUUUGUCCCUUGACAAACUUUCUUCUCCUCCACGGCGGAACACAGCGCGACGCGCCCCAGCAGCAGCAGCAGUAGCACCAGGACAGCGGCCCCGCGAGGCCCAGAGGCGGACAGGGGGCUGCGUACACCCAUGGUGUGCGUCGGACGCGACGGGCACACGGAGCUCCCCGACGAGCUGCUCCUCACUCUGCACUGCUCUGCGCUCCGCUCCACCCCGCUCAGCUCCGAGCUGCCGCUCUGCCUCCGCGCAGCAUGCUGGAGGGCGGCCGUCGAGGGCUGCGCGCACACGUGCCUACCCAGCUGCGGGCGGACUGCUGCCUUCUUCCUCUUCUUCUUCCUCCUCCCCUUCCUUCUCCUCCUCUUCUUUCCUCCUCCCUGCGCUCCUUCUGUCGCAGGGGUUGCGGAGCAGCUGGGGCCAGCCGUGGGACUACCCUGUCCAGCUGCGCUCUCCUCCCGGCCGCGGAGCGCAGGGGCUCCCUCUGGGGACGCCGAGGAGGAGGAGGAGGAGGAGGGGGCGGGGGCAAGGAACGGGAGGAGGAGGAACCAGAGGCGCCUUCCCCGCCCAGGUAGGGAUGGAGCCGCCCCUACCUGCCCCAGGACAGAGGAGAGGAACGGGUUGUGGAGAAGGGAGCAGUUCGGCUGAUUCCCCCGCUCAGUUUAUGUGAGCGUUGAGGAUAUCCCGUUUUCCGCUUCCCGGCUGUUUGUUUGCCCGGUAGAUGCCGAAAGCACGAGCAGGCGUUUGCGUCGCCGCUUGCGAAAAAGCCCCGUGGCCUUCAGCUCUCCCUGCGUGUCCUUCCCGUGGGACGCCAGGCAGCAGCUCAGCCUCUGCUGGUGAAUGCAGCAGAAACCCAUCCCGUCCCGUUAUAUGCAACCCUCGUUUCUGCUGCCUCGCUAUCAACAGAGCCCGCGAACAGUCCCAUUCAGUCUCAUUCCCAUGUGGUCAUUUUGCCUCAAGUGUGUACAUGCCAAGAAAAACUGUGCUGAUGCUAGACAUAUUUCAGUAGGGCCUGUAUCUGCUCGUGUUAUUUCUGUUUUCUCCCUGCUCUGAGUGGUGAAUUACUUUGCAAACAGACAGUAGUAAUACAGAAGUGUUAUUGGGAUGCUGCAGGGAAAUCCACAACGCAAAAGCACCAUGCCCUUUCCCCCUCAGUGUUGCUAUCCCAAGAGGCAUACCCAAGCAAGUCAGUGUUUAGUGAAUAUGCUUAUGGCUACAGCAUUUUUAUGUAUUUGUUUUGUUUUGUUUUUAAGUGGACUGCUACUCUGCAAGGUGAGAAGGAGCACUGCCUUAUUGCUUAGGCAUGGAAAUGGGACAUGAAUUGUCACUUGUCCAGGCUGGUACCUUCUCAAGCAUGUAGUUUUCCGUCUCACCAUUUGGCAGCCAGACUCAUGCUUAUGUGCUGCUUACUGGAAACUUCUUCCUAAAGCUCCUGAAAAGAUUUUGGUCACAAAGUCAAUAGGAUAUGAACUGCUAUCAUUGAUUGGGAACUCCAGAACUGAAGCUCACGGUGACAAGGGGCUUGAGAGGUGACACACUAAACGCCUGUGCCUAUCCCCAUGUGCUGAUAGCAACACAUGGUGAUAUCAUAGAUAUAUCACAUAGAUAGCAAAACAGCUGCUGAGUAGGAUACCUCAGUGAUUCAUACCUUCUGAAAGAUUCACUGAUUUUAUAUUACCCAUCAGAUUCCUCUGCACAAUUUUUUUUUUUUGACAGUUUAACAAGUUAUUGUGCUAAUUAGGCAAAUAAAAGUGAAACACCGUUUACUUACAGUAGCACAAGAUAGAUGCUCC
rnacentral:lncRNA from 1 species